rnacentral:rRNA from 1 species
GCCUGCCCCGUGACCAAAGGUUCAACGGCCGCGGUAUUUUGACCGUGCAAAGGUAGCGCAAUCACUUCGUCUCUUAAAUGGGGACCCGUAUGAAUGGCAUAACGAGGGCUUAGCUGUCUCCUUUUUCAAGUCAAUGAAAUUGAUCUCCCCGUGCAGAAGCGGGGAUAACCACCAUAAGACGAGAAGACCCUAUGGAGCUUUAGACACCAAGACAGACUAUGUUAAACACCCCAAAUCAAAGGGCUAAACUAAAUGGAAACCUGUCCUAAUGUCUUCGGUUGGGGCGACCGCGGGGAAACAUAAAACCCCCACGUGGAAAGGGAGCACGACCCUCCUACAGCCAAGAGCUUCCGCUCUACUAAACAGAACUUCUGACCUUAAGAUCCGGCAAAGCCGAUCAACGGACCAAGUUACCCUAGGGAUAACAGCGCAAUCCCCUUCUAGAGCCCAUAUCGACAAGGGGGUUUACGACCUCGAUGUUGGAUCAGGACAUCCUAAUGGUGCAGCCGCUAUUAAGGGGUUCGUUUGUUCAACGAUUAAAGUCCUACGUGAU